rnacentral:sRNA from 2 species
UAUCCCCCAAACCAGGGGGGGAUGAGAACCACCGACCGGGGUUCGACAACUGGCGCAGCCAGUUGGACAGACCGGGCGCGCAGCGAACGGGUUGCCCCGAAGGGGCGAGCAAAGCGAGUCAAUCCCCCCCUCACCGCCA